UAUUGACUUUAGCAGGCAAGCCUCUUUGCCA
rnacentral:piRNA from 1 species